GUGCUUGGGUAGCUCAGUUGGUAGAGCACUUGCCCUCAAAAGGCAAAGGUCCUGAGUUCGAGUCUCAGCCAACACA
rnacentral:tRNA from 1 species